GAUUAACGCUAGCGGCAGGCCUAAUACAUGCAAGUCGAACGGGAUUUCGGGGUANCAAUAUCUGAAUGAGAGUGGCGCACGGGUGCGUAACACGUAUGCAAUCUAACCUCUGACUGGGGGAAUAGCCUUCCGAAAGGAAGAUUAAUACCGCAUAACAUAAUGAAGUGGCAUCACUUUAUAUCAAACUACUGUGGUCAGAGAUGAGCAUGCGCCGAUUAGCUAGUUGG
rnacentral:rRNA from 1 species